GAGGGCGUAGCUCAGUUGGUAGAGCAGCGGACUUUUAAUCCGCGGGUCCCGAGUUCGAGUCUCGGCGCCCUCA
rnacentral:tRNA from 1 species